UGCAUUCGGGGUAUGCUCCAAAAUUAGGGUUAAGUGGGGGGGGGGGGGGGGGCUUUGGAUAUGAACAUAAAAAUGUAGAUCUUCAGGAUCUAGAUGUACCCCCACAUUUCCAUCCCUGAUCAAGUACCAUCAUUAAUUUAGUUGAGUCAUAAGCCUGAUUUAAAGUUCCAUAGUGCUCACAUUAGCUAAUUAAGAUGCUGCUGUUUUCAAGAGAUCAGAACGACCAAUUGAUUUAGAUGUAACUUUUUUUUUCAAAAGAGAAGUAAUUUCUUUAAAAAGAAUUAAAAGCACAAACAACUUGUGAUAAGGUUUUUAGUUUACUCCAGUUAAUGUUGCAGGCCUAAACCCUUCUUCGAAAAACGAUAACCCUUUUAUGAAGAAGUGAAACAGAUCAACUGAAUAAGACACUGACAUUUCAAGAGGUACAAUUUUUCUUGUUAAUGGUGCUUCUACUAAAAGUGAAGCCUGCAUAAAAAUAUAAUUGUGGUAUUAACAGCAUUCCUCCUAAAGUAAUAAGGAAAAGUUAAAAACUAACUUAUCAUUAACAGUUAGGGAAUAUGGAGAACUAAUUACAAUAGUUGUUCAUUGCUUUCGUGUAUUUCUUUCAGGUAAAGGUAGUAGGAGAAACCAGGGAUCGUGCCCAUGCCCAGGAACUGGAAAAUACUUUACGUUCUAACUAUAAUGAAGUUUACUUUGUUUCGACAGGAGACACGUCAUAAUAUUGCUGUGUGAUGUGUUGUCACAUUAUACUCUUUUGAAGUAUGUUUCCUUGCCAACUGCUAUGCAAAACAGUUUGUAAUACCACAAUCUAGACCAUGUCUAGUUUAUUAAAACGUGUCAAAUUUUUCAUCCAAUCUAUCCUUAUGUUCUAUUUUUAAUUACGGGUGAAGGGUUAAUCUUGUUUAGUUGGUCAUUUACACCAUUUUAAAGUUUUUAACAGAUUAGACAGUCUGUAUUCAAGAACUAGUAAGCAUGCAAAAACUGAGUUAAUUAUUUAGUAAUAUUUUAAACUUAUUUUAUUUAGUGUUUCUUAGGUCAAGCUUGAGUCUCGGUCCUCCGCCCUUGCCCUAUAAUUCAGUACCAAGCUUGAGUCUAGGUCCUCCACUCUUGCCCUAUAAUUCAGUACCAAGCUCAAGUCUAGGUCCUCCACUCUUGCCCUAUAAUUUAGUACCAAGCUUGAGUCUAGGUCCUCCACCCUUGCCCUAUAAUUGAGUACCAAGCUUGAGUCUAGGUCCUCCACCCUUGCCCUAUAAUUGAGUACCAAACUUGAGUCUAGGUCCUCCAUCCUUGUGUUGAGUAUUUGUUAAACCAGUUCAGAUGUUAGUUCUUUUGUACCUUUCAACAAUCCAGGACAGUUUGAUGGAACCCUCUGUUAGAGAUAUAUGUGGUAUCAAAUGUUCAAUAGGGAUAUUUUAGUCUUUAUUAUACUGUGGGCGAAGAUGUUGCCUUAUGUACAUAUUCAUAUAAAUACAAUCAAUAGUCAAUAAAUUACCUGUCAUUUUCAAUGAAAAA